GAUGAACGCUAGCGGCAGGCUUAAUACAUGCAAGUCGAGGGACAGCACAGGUAGCAAUACUGGGUGGUAACCGGCAAACGGGUGCGGAACACGUACACAACCUUCCUUUAAGUGGGGGAUAGCCCAGAGAAAUUUGGAUUAAUACCCCGUAAUAUAGUUGAAUGGCAUCAUUUGAUUAUUAUAGCUACGGCGCUUAAUGAUGGGUGUGCGGCUGAUUAGAUAGUUGGCGGGGUAACGGCCCACCAAGUCUACGAUCAGUAGCUGAUGUGAGAGCAUGAUCAGCCACACGGGCACUGAGACACAGGCCCGACUCCUACGGGAGGCAGCAGUAAGGAAUAUUGGUCAAUGGACGCAAGUCUGAACCAGCCAUGCCGCGUGAAGGAUUAAGGUCCUCUGGAUUGUAAACUUCUUUUAUUUGGGACGAAAAAGGGCCUUUCUAGGUCGACUGACGGUACCAGAUGAAUAAGCACCGGCUAACUCCGUGCCAGCCGCCGCAGUAAAAC
rnacentral:rRNA from 1 species